UACGGGGGGGGCAAGCGUUGUUCGGAAUUACUGGGCGUAAAGGGCUCGUAGGCGGCCAACUAAGUCAGACGUGAAAUCCCUCGGCUUAACCGGGGAACUGCGUCUGAUACUGGAUGGCUUGAGUUUGGGAGAGGGAUGCGGAAUUCCAGGUGUGGCGGUGAAAUGCGUAGAUAUCUGGAGGAACACCGGUGGCGAAGGCGGCAUCCUGGACCAACACUGACGCUGAGUGAGCGAAAGCCAGGGGAGCAAACGGG
rnacentral:rRNA from 1 species